rnacentral:rRNA from 1 species
UACGAAGGGGCUAGCGUUGUUCGGAUUUACUGGCGUAAAGCGCACGUAGGCGGUUUGUUAAGUCAGAGGUGAAAUCCCGGAGCUCAACUCCGGAACUGCCUUUGACUACGUGGCAAGCUAGAGUCCGGAAGAGGUAAGUGGAACUCCUAGUGUAGAGGUGGAAUUCGUAGAAUAUUAGGAAGAACACCAGUGGCGAAGGCGGCUUACUGGUCCGGAACUGACGCUGAGG